rnacentral:lncRNA from 1 species
UGAUGAAUGGAAGGGGGGGCCUCUCUGUCUCCAUCAUGGAGCCGUAGUAAAGCCAUUUAUCUCUCUCAGUGACAGCAAAGAGAAGGGCCGUCAGAGAGCCAGUGGCUUCCCAAGGCAGGCCUUUUGAGCGUCCACUUAUUUCUGUCAUUGUGGAAAGUUGACUGUUCUGUCUUGAGGACUAGGAAGAGGCCUUUACCUUUUAGGUACUUGAAUAGAUGAGCAUGUGGUACCCCUAUCCUCAGCUUCUUACUUUCUUGACAAUAUUUAAGCAUAAGAAGUGGUUGCUUCUUCAGACAAAUUAAAAUCAGUACUCUUGGUGAAACACCUCUUAAAGUUACAUAUGGCUGUUCUGCAUAUUAAGAUUUGAAUGGCUUUUGUUGUUAGGGGGCUUUUUUAUGAAGUUGGUGCAAAAGUAAUCGCAGUUUUGCCAUUAAAAGUUAUUUUCAGUAUAGUCAUUUGACUUUGCCUUUCAAAUGAAAUGUUUUCUGUAUGCUUAUGUGUAUUAUAUUUGUGACUUUUAAGAAAAAUAGUGAUUUAAUUUAAAUUUUUCAAUAACUGUAUUAAUAUUUUCCUACCCAAGAGCCAUAGAAAAGAAACUAAGAAAGUUAUUGGCCAGCUUCUACUUCAUACUGUAAAGCAUGGAGAAAAGGGAAUUGAUGUUGAUGCUGAAAAUUGUGCAGUGUGUAUUGAAAAUUUCAAAGUAAAGGAUAUUAUUAGAAUUCUGCCAUGCAAGUAUGUUCUUUUUACAUAUUGAGAUGUUAAAAAUUACUUGACAAGUUUUAGGUGUCUGACAAAAUAGUUAUUUGUUUUUUAUGAUAAUGAAGAUCUUGUAAUUUGUGAUCAUCUCUUCUUUUUAGAAAAGCAGCUUGGAUUUUAAAUAUAAUAUCUUCCCUGCCCUUUAAGAUUGCUUUGCCUAGGAGAUUCUUAGGUGACACUAAGACUCGUUAAGUAUCUUUGUCGUAGAUUGACUUUUAGUCUUCUAAGCAAGGCUUUAUCA